UUCAUUUUGCAUGCCCAACGUUUGUAUUCAGGCUGUUUGGCUCAGACUUUUUUCUGGGAUUUUUAUCAACUUUCUGUAACACAGGAGGGGCUGUUUAUUGUGUCUCAAUCAAAACUGUUUUGUUUUUUUUUUUUUUCCUUAGGAGGGAAAUGUAAUUGUCUUCCUAUCUCCAGAAAAGAAACAGGCAAGAAACAGAUAACCCAGCAACCCCUCGCUCUGGGGCUUCCUACUCCAGUCCUACAGCCUUUAAGACUCAUCUUGUGUGAAGUGAAGAAGAUGAGACUGCUUUGGAAAGAAGAACUUUAAUCAAAUCCCUUCGCCCUCCAGAAAGAUUCUUAUUUCAUGCAUCUUUUUAUGGUGCGAAGAGAAAGCCUCAACCAUUAACUGAAUAUAAGCCUCAAGAAUGCAAAAG
rnacentral:lncRNA from 1 species